UCAACUAUGUCACUAGCCAGACCCACUUUUGGGCAUGGCUAGGGGCAUUGCAGAGGAAGGUAUAAAAGACCGAACAGCGGAAGUCUCGCUCUUUUUUUCCCCCGGCUUCCAGUUCAGCGGUGGAAAACUACUCGGUUCAUCUGGGUUACUUGUUUGUCUCUUCUACAAGAGGAAGGCCUGGCUGCUGAGCAUGGCAAUUCAAGUCUGUAAUCCCAGCACUGGGGAGGUGAGGGCAAGAGGCUCAGAAGUUCAAAGUCACCCUUGGAUAUGUCACCCUUGGAUAUGCAGCCAAAUCAAGAGACCUCACUUCUGAAAAAAUCCACAGGCACUUUCUGAAGGCUACAUGGACCCCUGAAUUCCCCCACCUACUGUCAGGGGACUAAACACAGCAAAGGAGUCGAACACAGCAAUUCUUGGGAAAUGGCAGGCUAAGUACGCAGUGAAAGACUUCAUAAAAUGUGAUAUU